AAAAUAGUGAAAUACUUCAUUACUUUAAUAUUUAGAGAAAACACUCAAAGCAACUCCGAUGGAACAUAUUAGAAAAUUUAAAAUAUAUUCUUCUUGAAUUCUUAUUAUACGUAUUAUUGACGAUGACAUUCCAUGAAUUCAUAUGUCAAUAAAUCGAAAACUACAAAAAUGUAUUGAAAAUCUAGGUAAUAAUUUCAAAAUUUACUUUUGUGGAUUCGUCAAAUUACGAAGUAUCAAAAUAAGUUACAUGAACAUAAUGAACCAUUGCACUCAAGAAUAUGUUGAUACAUAUAUAGAAAAAUAUAUAAAAAAAACGAACUGUACGUUUAUGGAUAUAGUUUUUUGAAGAAUAGGUAAUCGGAAAAAACGUUGAAUGUAGAAAAUAAAACAUCCCCUUAAAUGACUUCUAGCAACUCCGAAAAAAUUUGUGCGUAAGCUGUAGAAUAUUAGCAAAUGCUAGCUGAAUUUUCAUAAGAAUAAGCCGUGGUAUCAGUGACACAUGUGAGGUAUUGCAGUAAAAUAAUUGUACUAAGGAGCCAACAUCCAUUAGCGUUGCUAUGUAACCAUAAACCCUGUUGAAAAUUCUCAGAUAUGAAUUGUAUUAACAUGUUCUCUGGAACAAAAGUAACUCGAACAACAGAUCCUCUGGAGUGAUGAAGGAAUUCAUAUCUGUAGAAAUAGAUGACCACGGCAAAACACAAUUGGUUCUUAGAGAACAUCAAUUGUUAGACGAGUAAUAAAAACGACCAAUCGGACGACUUUUU